rnacentral:rRNA from 1 species
GGACGAAAGUNUGAUGGAGCAACGCCGCGUGAGNGAUGAAGGUUUUNGGAUCGUAAAACUCUGUUGUAAGGGAAGAACACGUACGAGAGGNAAUGCUCGUACCUUGACGGUACCUUACGAGAAAGCCACGGCUAACUACGUGCCAGCAGCCGCGGUAAUACGUAGGUGGCAAGCGUUGUCCGGAAUUAUUGGGCGUAAAGCGCGCGCAGGCGGCCUUUUAAGUCUGAUGUGAAAGCCCCCGGCUCAACCGGGGAGGGCCAUUGGAAACUGGAAGGCUUGAGUACAGAAGAGAAGAGUGGAAUUCCACGUGUAGCGGUGAAAUGCGUAGAGAUGUGGAGGAACACCAGGUGGCGAAGGCGACUCUUUGGUCUGUAACUGACGCUGAGGCGCGAAAGCGUGGGGAGCAAACAGGAUUNCGAUACCCUGGUAGUCCACGCCGUAAACGAUGAGUGCUAGGUGUUGGGGGGUUUCCGCCCCUCAGUGCUGAAGCUAACGCAUAAGCACUCCGCCUGGA